AUUGAACGCUGGCGGCAGGCCUAACACAUGCAAGUCGAGCGGAUGAAGGGAGCUUGCUCCUGGAUUCAGCGGCGGACGGGUGAGUAAUGCCUAGGAAUCUGCCUGGUAGUGGGGGAUAACGUCCGGAAACGGGCGCUAAUACCGCAUACGUCCUGCGGGAGAAAGUGGGGGAUCUUCGGACCUCACGCUAUCAGAUGAGCCUAGGUCGGAUUGGCUAGUUGGUGGGGUAAAGGCCUACCAAGGCGACGAUCCGUAACUGGUCUGAGAGGAUGAUCAGUCACACUGGAACUGAGACACGGUCCAGACUCCUACGGGAGGCAGCAGUGGGGAAUAUUGGACAAUGGGCGAAAGCCUGAUCCAGCCAUGCCGCGUGUGUGAAGAAGGUCUUCGGAUUGUAAAGCACUUUAAGUUGGGAGGAAGGGCAGUAAGUUAAUACCUUGCUGUUUUGACGUUACCAACAGAAUAAGCACCGGCUAACUUCGUG
rnacentral:rRNA from 1 species